UGGUGAAAAAUUCGAUACGGGGGGGUAUACCCUAAAAAUGAAAAAUCCCGAACUUUGGAGGUCCAUAUCUCGGCUUCUAUGGGCACUAUCGGGAUAAUUCCAACGGUUUUGACUUAGUUUCGUCCUUCUGAAUCCAACGAGACCAUCCGCAAGGUCGUAGCUCCCAUAUUAGCUGAGAUCUCGCAUUUUUGUGGCCCAUUUUUGGGCUCAAAAACGGGGUCGAAAAUUGACUUUUUUCCGAAUUUUCAAAGUGCUAUAAUUCCACUUGUUCUAGUCGAAUUUCGUUAUAAUCCGGUGUUUUCGUGAUGUAGGUGAUGGGAAUAAGCCGCUGAUAGGGAUUUCUAUAGCGAUUUUCAAGUUUAAAGAAAAUCGAUUUUUCGCAUUUUCAAAGUGCCAUAACUCCCUUAGUUUUUCUCGAAACUCAUUAUAACCCGGUGUUUUCGUGUUGUAGGUGAUGGGAUCAAGCCGCUGGUAUAGUUAGUUGAAAUUCGAAAAAAAUCAAUUUUUGGUGAAAAAUUCGAUACGGGGGGGUAUACCCUAAAAAUGAAAAAUCCCGAACUUUGGAGGUCCAUAUCUCGGCUUCUAUGGGCA